rfam:Capsicum annuum cultivar Zunla-1 chromosome 6, whole genome shotgun sequence
UCUUUGUUAGAAGGCAUCAAAUAAAAUUGGAACGAUACAGAGAAAAUUAGCACGACCCCUACACAAGGAUAGACAUGCACAAAGAACUUUAAUACAAGUAA